UUCCAGUGUUUUGUUUUUGGUUAUUAAUUUUGGGUAAAAGUAUGGCAGUGGUGUGUGUAGUUGGGAGGUCGUGUCAAGUGCGUGUUUACUAUCUUUAACACUGAGAGAUCAUCGAGAUCAGGAGAUCUGGGUGGAUUUUCAUGGAUGCAUCUAGCAGUUCGAGGAGGGAGGAGUUCAUCCAGAUCUACUCAAUGUCGUUGUGGGUUGCGUCACGGAUGCUGUUUAUCAUCUUCUUCUGCAAUUUUAAUUCGUGUUUGUCCUGACUCGUGAGUUCACUGGUUUUGCCUCAAGAGCUCCAUCUAGCGCGCCAUCUGUGUACUGAAAAUCCCAGAUGGGUACAAUGGGCUAUAUGCACGCAUAACUUCCGCGUUUGACGCAAGGAUGCUCUUGCGUUUCCGGUUGGGGAGAUUUAAAGCAGAGGAAGGAAAUAGGUGCUGUCCUUUGCAAAACGUCCUUCUCAAUCGGACAUGGAGGGGAAUACGAUGCCAAACGACACAGACUCACGGAGACUCACAAGAAACGUGUCCAACAGAAAGAGACAUCCAAAUCUAUGGAUGCUUUCCUCCGACCUAAAAACGACUUUCUAGCUGACAAAGUGACUGCUGCAGAGGUGACGAGUGUGUAUCACACUGUCCAACACGCUACAUCAUAUCGGGCAGGAGAUUGUGGCACAAAGCUAGCCCAAACGGUUUAUCCGGACUCGGACAUUGCAGAAGCCAUUGUCACGGAUGUGCUUGCCCCUGCCUCCGUCGAAGAUUGCUUGAAAGUCCUCAGAAGACCACUGAAUGAGCAACGAGAGGCAACAAACAAAGAUGCUGGUGAAAAGGUUUGAAUCCUAAAGAUGUCCCCAAAGUCCUAAAGGUGUCCCCAGAACACUGAACAG